CUAUAGCUUUCAGGAUUCAUAAGCGGGAAACAUGAGGAAGUAAUGCUUUAUUAAAAUGCUAACUCCACAACUAUGAAGUGUUGGAAGUCCUUUGUUGUCCU